rnacentral:misc_RNA from 1 species
CAACCCUUAAGCCCUGUUGCUUAGCGUUGGGAGCCUACGGCACCGUAGCUCCCCAAAGUUAGUGGCGGGGUCGGUCUCACACUCCAGACGUAGUAAAUCUCUCUCGUCUGUAGUUGGGCCGCCCCCCGCCGUAAAACACCCUAAUCUUUAAA